AUGUUGUAUGGCGCCGAGUGUUGGCCGACUAAAAGGCGACAUGUUCAACAGUUAGGUGUGGCGGAGAUGCGUAUGUUGAGAUGGAUGUGUGUCCACACGAGGAAGGAUCGAGUCCGGAAUGAUGAUAUACGAGAUAGAGUUGGGGUAGCACCAAUUGAAGAGAAGCUUGUCCAACAUCGUCUGAGUUGGUUUGGGCAUAUCCAGCGCAGGCCUCUAGAAGCUCCAGUGCAUAGCGAUACAAAGGAUUGA
rnacentral:rRNA from 1 species